UACGUAGGGGGCAAGCGUUGUCCGGAUUUACUGGGCGUAAAGAGCGUGUAGGCGGCCCCGCAGGUCCGUUGUGAAAACUGGAGGCUCAACCUCCAGCUGUCGACGGAAACCGUGUGGCUAGAGUCCGGAAGAGGAGAGUGGAAUUCCUGGUGUAGCGGUGAAAUGCGCAGAUAUCAGGAGGAACACCAAUUGCGAAGGCAGCUCGCUGGGACGUUACUGACGCUGAGACGCGAAAGCGUGGGGAGCAAACAGG
rnacentral:rRNA from 1 species